AGAAUCAACGCUGGCGGCGUGCCUAACACAUGCAAGUCGAACGAGAAAGUGGAGCAAUCCAUGAGUACAGUGGCGACCGGGUGAGUAACACGUGACUACCUACCCUUGAGUGGGGGAUAACCUCGGGAAACCGAGGCUAAUACCGCAUAAUAUCGAGAGAUCAAAGGAGUAAUCCGCUUUUGGAGGGGGUCGCGGCUGAUUAGCUAGUUGGUAGGGUAAUGGCCUACAAAGGCGAAGAUCGGUAGCCGGCCUGAGAGGGCGACCGGCCACACUGGGACUGAGACACGGCCCAGACUCCUACGGGAGGCAGCAGUGGGGAAUAUUGCACAAUGGGCGAAAGCCUGAUGCAGCGACGCCGCGUGAGGGAUGACUGCCUUCGGGUUGUAAACCUCUUUCAGCAGGGACGAAGCGAAAGUGACGGUACCUGCAGAAGAAGCACCGGCAACUACGCGCAGCAGCCGC
rnacentral:rRNA from 1 species